rnacentral:rRNA from 1 species
GUUGACCUCGGAUCAGGUAGGAAUACCCGCUGAACUUAAGCAUAUCAAUAAGCGGAGGAAAAGAAACCAACAGGGAUUGCCCUAGUAACGGCGAGUGAAGCGGCAACAGCUCAAAUUUGAAAUCUGGCUUUCGGGCCCGAGUUGUAAUUUGUAGAGGAUACUUUUGAUGCGGUGCCUUCCGAGUUCCCUGGAACGGGACGCCAUACAGGGUGAGAGCCCCGUCUGGUUGGAUGCCAAAUCUCUGUAAGUUCCUUCGACGAGUCGAGUGUUGGUAAAUAGGAGAAGGA